rnacentral:rRNA from 1 species
UGGGGAAUAUUGCACAAUGGGCGGAAGCCUGAUGCAGCAACGCCGCGUGCGGGAUGACGGCCUUCGGGUUGUAAACCGCUUUCGCCUGUGACGAAGCGUGAGUGACGGUAAUGGGUAAAGAAGCACCGGCUAACUACGUGCCAGCAGCCGCGGUGAUACGUAGGGUGCGAGCGUUGUCCGGAUUUAUUGGGCGUAAAGGGCUCGUAGGUGGUUGAUCGCGUCGGAAGUGUAAUCUUGGGGCUUAACCCUGAGCGUGCUUUCGAUACGGGUUGACUUGAGGAAGGUAGGGGAGAAUGGAAUUCCUGGUGGAGCGGUGGAAUGCGCAGAUAUCAGGAGGAACACCAGUGGCGAAGGCAGGUCUCUGGGCUGUAACUGACGCUGAGAAGCGAAAGCAUGGGGAGCGAACAGGAUUAGAUACCCUGGUAGUCCAUGCCGUAAACGUUGGGCACUAGGUGUGGGGGACAUUCCACGUUUUCCGCGCCGUAGCUAACGCAUUAAGUGCCCCGCCUGGGGAGUACGGCCGCAAGGCUA